UACGAAGGGGGCUAGCGUUGUUCGGAUUUACUGGGCGUAAAGCGCGUGUAGGCGGGUCGUUAAGUUGGGGGUGAAAUCCCGAGGCUCAACCUCGGAACUGCCUUCAAAACUGGCGACCUGGAGCAAAGAAGAGGCGAGUGGAAUUGCGAGUGUAGAGGUGAAAUUCGUAGAUAUUCGCAGGAACACCCGUGGCGAAGGCGGCUCUCUGGGACGGUACUGACGCUGAGACGCGAAAGCGUGGGGAGCGAACAGG
rnacentral:rRNA from 1 species